UCAUUGGAUUUAGUUGACGUUAAGAAGUGUGAGUGUUGCGUUGGUGGUGAUGGGAAAGGUUGGGUCAUUGGAUUUAGUUGAUGUUAAGAAGUGUGAGUGUUGCGUUGGUGGUGAUGGGCAAGGUUGGGUCAUUGGAUUUAGUUGAUGUUAAGAAGUGUGAGUGUUGCGUUGGUGGUGAUGGGCAAGGUUGCGUUAUUGGAUUUAGUUGAUGUUAAGAAGUGUGAGUGUUGCGUUGGUGGUGAUGGGAAAGGUUGCGUCAUUGGAUUUAGUUGAUGUUAAGAAGUGUGAGUGUUGCGUUGGUGGUGAUGGGCAAGGUUGCGUCAUUGGAUUUAGUUGAUGUUAAGAAGUGUGAGUGUUGCGUUGGUGGUGAUGGGCAAGGUUGGGUCAUUGGAUUUAGUUGAUGUUAAGAAGUGUGAGUGUUGCGUUGGUGGUGAUGGGCAAGGUUGGGUCAUUGGAUUUAGUUGAUGUUAAGAAGUGUGAGUGUUGCGUUGGUGGUGAUGGGCAAGGUUGGGUCAUUGGAUUUAGUUGAUGUUAAGAAGUGUGAGUGUUGCGUUGGUGGUGAUGGGCAAGGUUGGGUCAUUGGAUUUAGUUGAUGUUAAGAAGUGUGAGUGUUGCGUUGGUGGUGCUGGGGAUGGGGGAGGAAAGGGGGGAGGAGGAGGAUAGAUGGGAUAAUGGUUCUGAUGGGUGUCUUGUUGAUAGUUAGAUAUGAUUGGUGUUUGAGUAGAUGGCUUUCUUUUGAUAUUCUCGGGGAAAUUGGAUUGGAUUGAUUUAAAUUUGGCGCCACAACAGUCAGGGUCAUAUGGCGCCGUUCUCGAGGAAAGGAGAGAUGAGGAAUAUAGAUGGGAUACUGCUCUGAUGGGUGUAUUGUUGAUAGUUAUAUAUGAUUGGUGUUUGAGUAGAUGAUGUUCCUUUGAUAUUCUCGAGUAAAGGAGAGAUGAGGAAUGUAGAUGGGAUACUGUUGAUGGGUGUAUUGUUGCUAGUUAUAGGUGACUGGUGUUUGAGUAGAUUGUUUUGAUAUUUCCGGGAUAAAUGUUACUGCUGUGAUGAGAGAGGGGGCUAGGAAAGGAGCAAUAUAGGAAAAUAAUGGUGAUUUUUUUUAAUUGACAACAUUUUAUUAGAACCAGAUAACAAUUUUGCGAGACUUCAACGCUUCCAGACAACGCGUUAAAUUCGAGGGUCGGAAGGAAUAACAUUUGAGAAUUACUGAUGAUGGUUAAUACUUUACAUUGAUACUAGAUAAAACUUUACACUCGCUUCGUUAAAUUUGCUGGUUAAGUGGAAGGAAAGGGCCAUUAGAGCGAUACUGAUGAUUAUUAAUAUUGAUUUCGUUACCUGACCUUCGUUCGCAACAUUUGGUGACCUUCCAUC